GGAGUCGGCCGGACAGUCGCGUCAUUCAUUUGAAUGCCGAGGAAAGUCCGGGCUCCACAGGGCACGGUGCCAGGUAACGCCUGGGCGGCGCGAGUCGACGGAAAGUGCAACAGAAAGAUACCGCCUAUGUCCGGGCAACCGGGCAGGCAAGGGUGAAAUGGUGCGGUAAGAGCGCACCGCGAGCCUGGUAACAGGCCGGCACGGCAAACCCCACCGGGAGCAAGACCAAAUAGGGAGGCAAUGCCGCGGCCCGCGGUGUCUCCGGGUAGGUUGCUUGAGCGUAUCGGCGACGAUGCGCCUAGAGGAAUGACUGUCCACGACAGAACCCGGCUUACAGGCCGGCUCCGCCA
rnacentral:RNase_P_RNA from 2 species